rnacentral:rRNA from 1 species
UACGUAGGGGGCAAGCGUUGUCCGGAAUCAUUGGGCGUAAAGCGCGUGUAGGCGGCUUCGUAAGUCCGUUGUGAAAGUCCAGGGCUCAACCCUCGGAAUGCCGAUGGAUACUGCGGAGCUAGAGUCCGGAAGAGGCGAGUGGAAUUCCUGGUGUAGCGGUGGAAAUGCGCAGAUAUCAGGAGGAACACCAAUGGCGAAGGCAGCUCGCUGGGACGGUCACUGACGCGUGAGACGCGAAAGCGUGGGGAGCAAACAGG